rnacentral:lncRNA from 1 species
UGAUCAUUAUUAUAGGAUAUGUGGUUUACUGUUUAUCAUUAGAUUUUGUUCCUUUUUCCCAUUAAACAUGAAGAAUAAGGAUAAGUAAAGGUGAUGCUUGUGAUUGCAGAAGAUAUUAGCAGGAACAGGGCUCACGUACGCGUUCAAUAAGAUCAAGGCACAGGUACCGUUUUAUAUCUCGAUGAAGAUCUGCUGGUAGUUGUCUCAGAACUGAAUUCUCUUCAACUCCCUGUGUUGCAAUCCACUUGUAUUUGAGGAAUUGACUGAUGCGGUAUCUCAACUCAUCAGGUAUUUGAUGAUCUGUCAUCCAAUCUUCCAUUUCUGCUUGCCAUAUUCUCCAAUCUUCAGUAUUCUUAGAAAGAGAUCUCAUUUGUAUCUGUGAAGCAUUUAUUUUGCUUAUUUGGUGUACUACAUAAAUAAACUGUUACUAUAGUUCUUUUACAAGACAAUUACCUGCAUGUUGCCUAUUAGCUGUGCAAACAAACCAAUGCUGAGAAGGGUUAGCCCUAUUGCAAAUAGGUUUUCACCAAUGAAGGAACUAGUCACCAAAGGGUUGCCGUACGUUCUGACCAAAAAUGUACACAAAAUAACAUUUCAGUAAUCUGAAAUCAUGAUAAGUCUGCCACAAACACUGCAAGCAGCAUGAAAGAAUUUGUAAGAACAAGUUAGGGUUAAUACUAGACAACAAUUGUUUUCUGGCUGUAAAUCUGUAAUGCCAUUUUGGAGCUUGAAUAAUUGAAAACACAGUAAGUAUAAAAAUACGAACGUCAACUGUUGAAGUCCCCACCAAAGGGAGUAGAAAUAUUUCUCAGAGAAUGAAGUUGUGGUCACUCCAUUUUGUAUUGCUCGAAUGAAUAUGCCAUAGUUAAUAUUGACAUUGUUGCUGUUGGCGUUGCAACCUGUGAAUACAUUUGUGCUAUUUGCCCAACUUUGACUGUCACUUGAUAUGGCAUAUUUACAGUCAAGGAACUUCAAAUCACAUGGUACAUGGUGUGCCAUGCUGUCCUCAAUAGAGCACUGUGUUUCCCAGCAUGUCUUUUGCCGAUCCACUGCUGUUAGAUAGAAUAUUGCUCCAACCACCUGUUGGAAACAUGGCACAAAAUACUGGUUUAAUAAGAUAAGUUACAACCUUUUUUCCUAUAGGAUGAUUUAUGUUUGGCAUAAAUUCCAAUCGUUUAUUACAUGAAGUGUCUUGACUACAAAAUGCCUAGUGCAAUAUUGAUGAAAUUAAUUCUAGCCAGAUCAUAUGGGGCUAAACUCUAUGUUUUAAAAUGUCUCAUUAUCCUAGGACCAGACUGUUACUUUUAUCUGUUUGCAGCAAUAUCUACUGUAGAUACGCUCAAAGUUCGUUAGGUACUUUUACCAUAAAAUCAUGAUAGUUGUUUUUGUAAUUCAAGUGAAAUAACUAGUAACACUUACAUGACUUGCCACCAAAUAAAGAACUAGAUUGUAGAUAGCUCCUUCCCACCCGUUUUUUGCAAUGAAACCCACCAUUUCCAGAAUGUUAAUGCUGAGAAGAAUUACAGUGUAUAAUCUGAUGGCAGAUUGGACCAAUAUUAUCAAAAAGAAAGGGGCAUUGAUAUGCUUGAAGCUCAUAUAUGGCAUGACUGCCCACACGAGAAACUGCACAUACAAGGAACUAAUCAGCACACAAAUGUCACAUUUUUUCCUGAUUACUUCUGUAUUAUCUUUCCUCCAAUAGAAGAGACGUACUUGUGGAACUGGCAAUGCAGCUACCAGGUCAAUGAAGAAGUCUCUUCUGAUGUAUCUUUUUGCAAUCCUUUUAGGAUCUGUGACAAGCUCACCCUUGCCAAGCACUUUGGAGCCUGGAU